UAGGGGGCAAGCGGUGUCCGGAAUUAUUGGGCGUAAAGAGCUCGUAGGCGGUCUGUUGCGUCGGCUGUGAAAACCCGGGGCUCAACCCCGGGCCUGCAGCCGAUACGGGCAGACUAGAGUUCGGCAGGGGAGACUGGAAUUCCUGGUGUAGCGGUGAAAUGCGCAGAUAUCAGGAGGAACACCGGUGGCGAAGGCGGGUCUCUGGGCCGAUACUGACGCUGAGGAGCGAAAGCGUGGGGAGCGAACAGG
rnacentral:rRNA from 1 species